AUUAAACAAAACAAACAAACCAAGGUUUGAAGCAACCCUAGCGCAAGCCAGCCUGUAGUGUAACACCCUACACAAAGAACAAUUCCACACACAGACAUGGGGGAAACAGAGGCUACUAUACAUUUAGUCUGAUGAGGGAAUGUGAACCAGGUGUGCGGGAAAACAAGACAAAACAAAUGGAAAAUGAAAGGUGGAUCGGCGAUGGCUAGAAGACCGGUGACUUCGACCGUGUCAUAUUGACCUGAGCCCAAGGACCGUGCCCCAGGACGACCUGACAUGAUGACUCCUUGCUGUCCCCAGUCCACCUGACUGUGCUGCUGCUCCAGUUUCAACUGUUCUGCCUUAUUAUUAUUCGACCAGGCUGGUCAUUUAUGAACAUUUGAACAUCUUGGCCAUGUUCUGUUAUAAUCUCCACCCGGCACAGCCAGAAGAGGACUGGCCACCCCACAUAGCCUGGUUCCUCUCUAGGUUUCUUCCUAGGUUUUGGCCUUUCUAGGGAGUUUUUCCAAGCCACCGUGCUUCUACACCUGCAUUGCUUGCUGUCUGGGGUUUUAGGCUGGGUUUCUGUACAGCACUUUGAGAUAUCAGCUGAUGUACGAAGGGCUAUAUAAAUAAAAUGUGAUUGAUUGAU